AUAAAAAUGGAAAAUAACAAUGAAUUAACAAUUAAUUGUUCCCCAGGAACUUUCAAAAAGAUUCAAGCAGGUAAGAAACAGAAAUUAAGAUUAUUAGACUAUAAGCAAUGUGAACAAACACUUUUUAUUUACGUAUUUAAACCUGCAGAUGCAGAUUAUCGGCAGUGUGUAAUACAGCAAGUGGCCGGGGAAGAUACGUUUGGACAAAUAAUGUUUUCCCAAAAAGAACCAGACAUGUCUCUAUCUGAGCAGCCUGAUUGUGCAUAUCAGCAAAAUGUGGAUAACAGCCUCUAGAGAAUCACCAGAUUUAGCAAAGCCAUUGUGGUUGGAUGCGCCAACGAGAUUUUUAAUCCAGAAGGUUAGGGAUUUACGUCCAAGGGUUGGAAAAAGUGCUUCUCUAAAAAACAAGAAGCAAAUGUGGAGUACAAUUAGCAAAGAACUUUGCGAAAUGGGCUACAUGUUUAAGGCGGUGCAAGUUGAGACUAUACCCUAGAACGGAACUACAAGCAAGCGGCUUCGAAUAACUCCAAGACGGGAAGGGCUAGACAGUUCUGCGCAUAUCAAAAUGAACCCCACGAAAUAUUUAAAGAAAAGAAGUCGAUAUACCCUACAUGUGUCUUGGACAGCGAGAUGCCGAGUCUUGACGUCAGCACUGAUGCAGAAGAAAUCUUAGAUGCGGCGCCAGCUACACCAGUAGACGAGCCCGAUUUCACGCCGUCCACUUCAAACAAAAGGAAAACUUCGCCAGCUAC